AUGAGCAACGAGUUGUUCAGGCGCAUUGCAGAGAAACUGGCGAGCCAUGAUUGUUUUUUUCAGCAAAGGAGGAAUGCCGCCGGAGAGCUCGGGCAUAGCACGUUUCAGAAGGUGACAACCGCUUUGCGUAUGUUGGCAUACAGUAUUCCGGCUGAUCUAGUUGAUGACCACUUGGCCAUGGGUGAGAGUCAAGCCAUCAUGCGUGUCAAGCACUUCGCAGUCGGAAUUGUGCAAGCGUUUGGCCCGGAGUAUCUGAGAUCUCCCAAUGCUAAAGACGCCGCAAGGCUUUUGGAGAUGAACAAAGCUCGCGGGUUCCCAUGUAUGCUUGGCUCAAUAGAUUGCAUGACAUGGGCAAUUCCACGGAAAAAAGGGUUCCACUAUAAUCCUUGA
rnacentral:rRNA from 1 species